rnacentral:rRNA from 1 species
AUGCGCCGUCUCGUCGUCCUGCUCCUUGCUGUCUUGCUUCCCCAUGAAACCAGCUGCUCCGCCGCCGCAGCUUCCGGCGACCGGUGCAGCCGCCGGUGUGGCAGCACCACCGUUCCCUACCCUUUUGGCUUCUCCCUCGGCUGCCCCAUCCCGCUGUUCUGCGACGCCAGCAUAUCCACGCCGAUCCUCCCAUACAUAGGAGAGAACGGCACCACGUACCGCGUGAUAGCCUUCAACUCCAACACCUCCACCGUCGUUGUCGGCCUCCCGCCGUCGUGCAGCCGCAGCGUCCCCGAGGCCAAGAGGGAGCUCUCCGGGGGCAACUACGGCGUGUCGUCUCGCACCGGUCUUUUCCUCCGCGGCGGCUGCAGCGGGAUCAACGCGUCGGCCGGCGGCGGAUGCAGCGUGCCCGUGGACGUCAUGUCAAGGCUGCUCCGCACGGCGCAGUGCACCGGCCUCGGCAGCGACACCUCGCCCGCCGCUGUGGCGUGCGUCGCUUCCGCUCCGCCAAACUCCACCGCGGCGGUGCAUGGCCAGUUUCUGCGGUGGGAGAAGGUCGAGAAGCAAAAGUGCGACGACGUGCUGACCUCCACGGUGUUCGUGCUCACGGCGGAGGGGACGGCUACGCUGGAGUUCGGCGUGGCCGAGCUCGGCUGGUGGCUCAACGGGACGUGCGGCGCCGGCGGGGGCGAGCGUUGCGCGGCGAACGCGUCGUGCACCGACGUAAAAACGCCUAGCGGGGAGUUGGGGCACCGGUGCGGGUGCGUGGCGGGGAUGGAGGGCGACGGCUUCUUGGCCGGCGACGGAUGCUACCUCGCUAAGCGGGUUUCCAAGAGGAACGUGGCUUUCAUCGCUGCAGGUGUCGUGGUGGGCGUGGCGGCGGCGGCCGGCGUGCUCCUGCUGCUCUGCUGGGCACGACGCCGGCGCUCCGGCGGCAAGGGCCGGCAGGGCUCCAGCCGGCUCGCGGCGAUGCGGCUGCUGUCGGAGGCGGCGACGUCGAGCGGCGUGCCGGUGUACUCGUACAACGAGGUCGCGCGCGCGACCAACUCCUUCUCCGACACGCACCGCCUCGGCACGGGCGCCUAUGGCACGGUUUACGUCGGCCGGCUCCCGGCGAACUCGACGGCGCUCGUGGCCAUCAAGCGCCUCCGCUGCCGCCUCGACGACCACGACGACGACGGCGGCAGGGCGGUGGCGCUGCUCCUCAACGAGAUCAGGCUCAUCUCCUCGCUCAGCCACCCCAACCUGGUCCGCCUCCUCGGCUGCUGCCUCGACCGCGGCGAGCAGAUCCUCGUCUACGAGCUCGUCCCCAACGGCACCCUCUCCCACCACCUCCACGGCGACGGCGGCUCCACGCUGCCGUGGCGCGCGCGGCUCGGCGUCGCGGCGGGCACGGCGGCCGCCAUCGCGUACCUGCACGCCGCGCGCCCGCCCAUCUUCCACCGCGACGUCAAGUCCGGCAACAUCCUCCUCGGCGCCGACCUCCGCGCGAAGCUCGCCGACUUCGGCCUCUCCCGCGCCGCGCGCGGCGCCGAGGACGCGUCGCGCUCCCACGUCUCCACCGCGCCGCAGGGCACGCCGGGGUACGUCGACCCGGAGUACCACCAGAGCUUCCACCUCUCCGACAAGAGCGACGUGUACAGCUUCGGCGUCGUGCUGCUCGAGCUCAUCACCGCCAUGAAGGUCGUCGACUUCGGCCGGCCGGCGAACGAGGUCAACCUGGCAUGCCUCGCGCUCGACCGGAUCGGCAAGGGGAGAGUCGAGGAGAUCGUCGACCCGGCGCUCCUCCGUCACGGCGAGGAGUGGGUCAUGGAGUCGGUCCGGCACGUCAGCGAGCUCGCCUUCCAGUGCCUGGCGUUCGACAAGGACGUCCGGCCGUCCAUGAGCGAGGUGGCCGCCGAGCUGUGCCGGAUCAGGGACGCCGCCCCAGGCUCCGGCAUGACGGACCUCGUCGCCGACGUGGGGCUCGAUGGACCGAACACCGCGGCGGCGAAGAAAGCCCGGUCGCCGGUGUCGGUGCAGGACGUCUGGGUCAGCGACCGGAGCUCGCAAUCGACCAACGGCUCCAUGCCACGCUUUCCGUAG